rnacentral:rRNA from 1 species
UGGGGAAUAUUGCACAAUGGGGGAAACCCUGAUGCAGCAACGCCGCGUGCGGGAUGACGGCCUUCGGGUUGUAAACCGCUUUCAGCCAUGACGAAGCUUUUGUGACGGUAGUGGCAGAAGAAGCACCGGCUAACUACGUGCCAGCAGCCGCGGUGAUACGUAGGGUGCGAGCGUUGUCCGGAAUUAUUGGGCGUAAAGAGCUUGUAGGCGGUUUGUCGCGUCGAAAGUGUAAACUCAGUGCUUAACGCUGAGCCUGCUUUCGAUACGGGCUGACUAGAGGAAGGUAGGGGAGAAUGGAAUUCCCGGUGGAGCGGUGGAAUGCGCAGAUAUCGGGAGGAACACCAGUGGCGAAGGCGGUUCUCUGGACCAUUCCUGACGCUGAGAAGCGAAAGCGUGGGUAGCAAACAGG